rnacentral:rRNA from 1 species
UACGUAGGGGGCAAGCGUUGUCCGGAUUUACUGGGCGUAAAGAGCGUGUAGGCGGCCAAGCAGGUCCGUUGUGAAAACUGGAGGCUUAACCUCCAGACGUCGACGGAAACCGCGUGGUCGUAGAGUCGAAGAGGAGAGUGGAAUUCCUGGUGUAGCGGUGAAAUGCGCAGAUAUCAGGAAGAACACCAAUGGCGAAGGCAGCUCUCUGGGACGGUACUGACGCUGAGACGCGAAAGCGUGGGGAGCGAACAGG